rnacentral:rRNA from 1 species
AUUGAACGCUUGCGGCAGGCCUAACACAUGCACGUCGAACGAGUGGCGGACGGGUUAGUAAUUUCUGGGAAACUGCCUGAUGGCGGGGGAUAACUCCUGGAAACGGUAUCUAAUACCGCAUACCAUCAGAUGUGCCCAGAGGGGAUUAGAUUGUUGGUGGGGUAACGUCUCACCAAGGCGACGAUCCCUAGCUGGUCUGAGAUGAUGACCAGCCACACUGUAAAUGAGACACGGUCCAGACUCCUACGGGAGGAAGCAGUGGGGAAUAGUGCACAAUGGGCGCAAGCCUGAUGCAGCCAUGCCGCGUGUAUGAAGAAGGCCUUCGGGUUGUAAAGGACUUUCAGCGGGGAGGCGGUACCCGCAGAAGAAGCACCGGCUAACGCCGUGCCAGCAACCGCGGUAAUUC